rnacentral:rRNA from 1 species
GACGAACGCUGGCGGCGUGCUUAACACAUGCAAGUCGGACGGAAAGGCCCUGCUUUUGUGGGGUGCUCGAGUGGCGAACGGGUGAGUAACACGUGAGUAACCUGCCCUUGACUUUGGGAUAACUUCAGGAAACUGGGGCUAAUACCGGAUAGGAGCUCCUGCUGCAUGGUGGGGGUUGGAAAGUUUCGGCGGUUGGGGAUGGACUCGCGGCUUAUCAGCUUGUUGGUGGGGUAGUGGCUUACCAAGGCUUUGACGGGUAGCCGGCCUGAGAGGGUGACCGGCCACAUUGGGACUGAGAUACGGCCCAGACUCCUACGGGAGGCAGCAGUGGGGAAUAUUGCACAAUGGGCGGAAGCCUGAUGCAGCAACGCCGCGUGCGGGAUGACGGCCUUCGGGUUGUAAACCGCUUUCGCCUGUGACGAAGCGUGAGUAACGGUAAUGGGUAAAGAAGCACCGGCUAACUACGUG